CAACAUACCUCUAAUGCUAAUGUUGUUGACUCCAACCCGUUUAAUAAAGAGCAAAUUGAUCAAAUUCUGAAGCUGCUACAGACCAAUUCAUCAUCUGGUAAUCCUAGUGUUUUCUUGGCACAAUCAGGAUCAGGAAUCGGGGGGGACGAUUGGACGUGCUAGGAUGAUUGAUGGUCUCUAUUACUUUGAUGAAGUUUCUGCUAGUCAUAAAAAAGUUCAGGGCUUGAGUAGUGUUUGUUCUCCUCCUGCUAAAGAAAACAUCAUGCUUUGACAUCGUAGAUUAGGGAAUCCACAUUUCUUUUAUUUAAAGUAUCUAUUUCCCGAUUUAUUUAAAGGAUUUGAUUGUUCAGUUUUUCAAUGUGAAAGUUGUAUUUUUGUCAAACAUCAUCGAUCCACCUAUUUGCCUAAACCGUACAAGGCUUCAUCACCUUUUUCCUUAAUUCAUACUGAUGUUUGGGGUCCGUCUAAAGUCUUAACUCAUAGUGGUAAGUGUUGGUUUGUUACCUUUAUAGAUGACCACACUCGUUUAACUUGGCUUUAUUUGUUAACAAAAAAGUCAGAGGUAAAAGAGGUUUUUAUUCGGUUUUACAAUAUGAUAGAGACUCAAUUUCAAACUAAAAUUCAAAUUCUUCACUCUGAUAACGACACUGAAUAUUUCAAUGAACAAUUAACCAAUUUUUUGCAAGAAAAAGACAUUUUUCAUCAAGCUACGUGUCGUGACACGCCUCAGCAGAAUGCCAUUGCUGAGCGAAAGAAUAGACACUUACUUGAAGUUGCUCGUGCCCUUAUGUUCUCUAUGAAUGUUCCAAACUAUUUGUGGUGUGAUGUCGUUCUUACAGCUACAUAUCUGAUAAAUCAAAUGUCGUCUAAGGUUUUGAAUAAUAAAACUCCUCUUAAUCACUUCAAUGAGUUUUUUCCUAAUAACCAAUUGUUUUCUGAUUUACCAAUUACAUUGUUUGGGUGUACUGCUUAUGUCCAUACUUCUCUUUCUCGAACUAAGCUUGAUCCUCAAGCCACUAAAUGCAUUUUUGUAGGCUAUGUUUCUCAUAAGAAAGCUUACAAAUGUUUUGAUCCUUUGACCCACAAGCAUUUUGAGUGUAUGAAUGUGUCUUUUUUGGAAAAUCAACCUUUUUUUGGCCCAAAUUUUCUUCCGUGGGAGAUAUCUAACCUUGAAGAUAAUUUUUGGGAUACUUUAUCUCUCCCAAACAUCAGUGGUCCUUGCAAUUAUGAGCUCUAGUCCUUCGAUACCAAGUAUGGAGAGUUCUUCUUUAGGGGGAGAAACACUACAAAAUGACUCUACAAGUCGAAAUCCUGAACUUCAGGUUUAUACUAGAAGAAACUUGACUCAAAGAGUCCGAGAACAGACAAUUGACUUAUCAUAGGACCAAUCUAAUACUCCGAUGAAUGAUCUUGAAGAUCUAGGUAUUAGACACUCUACUCCUUGUUCUCCUAGUUCUUCAUCUCCUUCUAAUCCUUUACCUGACGUCUCUAAUCUUGAUAUUCCAAUUGCCCAUAGGAAAUGUACUCGUAAAUGCACUAAAUAUCCCAUUGAAAACUAUCUUUCUUAUCAUAGAUUGUCCGAUUGUCAUAAAGCCUUCACAUCCAAAAUAACCAACCUAUUUGUUUCAAGGAAUAUACAGGAAGCCCUAAAUGAUUUAAAUUGGAAAUUAGCAGUGAUGGAAGAGUUCAAUGCACUGAAACAAAAUAGCAUAUGAGACAUAGUUGAACUACCAAAAGAUAAGAAGACAGUGGGAUGCAAAUGGGUGUUCAUUGUAAAAUGUAAAGUUGAUGGUAGUAUUGAAAGGUACAAGGUCAGAUUGGUUGCCAAGGGGUUCACUCAGACCUAUGGCAUUGAUUAUCAAGAAACAUUUGCUCCAGUAGCUAAAAUUAAUUUUAUUAGAAUCUUGUUGUUUGUGCAGUUAAUUUUGAUUGGCCACUUUAUCAACUUGAUGUGAAGAAUGCAUUUCUCAAUGGGGAUCUUGAAGAAGAGAUUUUUAUGGACUUGCCACCUGGUUUUGAGGUAAUGAUGAGACAGGACUGAAUAUCUUGAAGAAAAACUUUGCUAAUGAUUUUCAAAUCAAGGACCUGGGAACCUUAAAAGUAUUUUCUAGGAAUGGAGUUUGCCAGAUCUAAAAAUGACAUUCUUGUCAACCAGAGGAAGUAUAUUCUUGACCUACUGAAUGAGACAGGUUUACUUGGUUGCAAGAUAGCAAAAGCUCCUAUUGAGCAAAAUUUAAAAUUGGUUGCUGCAACUGAAAAAGAAGUAAAAGGAAAGGAAAAGUACCAGAGGCUUGUAGGGAGACUCAUAUACCUCUCUCACACGUCCUGACAUUGCUUUCGCAAUUAGUGUAGUAAGUCAAUUCAUACAUGCUCCCAGGUCAGUUCACUUUGAAGCAGUUUAUAGAAUUUUGAGAUAUUUGAAAGGUACUUUAGGAAAAGGUAUAUUAUUCACAAAGCAUGACCACCUAAACAUUGAGGUUUACACUGAUAUUGAUUGGGCAGGAAGCACGACUGAUAGAAGAUCUACUUCGGGGUAUUGCUCUUUUGUUGGAGGAAAUUUGGUUACUUGGCGAAGUAAAAAACAAAGUGUGGUUGCAAGAAGUAGUGCUGGAGCAUAAUUUAGGACAUUAGCCCAUGGUAUUUGUGAGGACAUAUGGAUAAGAAGACUACUGGAAGAAUUGAAUUUCUCUCAGACAAUGCCCAUACACAUUUAUUGUGAUAACAAGUCAGCAAUUUCCAUUGCCCACAAUCCAGUCCUUCAUGAUAGGACCAAACAUAUUGAAGUUAAUAAAUACUUCAUAAAGGAAAAGAUUGAUGCAGGAAUAAUAUAUGCAUUCCCUUUCUCCCAACAGCAAAGCAAAUUGCAGAUGUGUUAACCAAAGGUCUUCCAAAGUGGCAAUUCAACAAGUUGAUUGACAAGCUGGCUAUGAAUGAUAUCUUCAAACCAGCUUGAGGGGAGUGUAGAUUAUUUCUUUUAUUGUGAAAUUUUAUAUUGUACUUAUUGUAUUAUUUUUGCUGUAUUUUAUUCUUUCCUUAUUUGUAAUUGGGUAUUUCUUCUAUUUAAGAAACCCUUUUCCCCUAAGAUUAAUAAGGGAAAAAAUAAUGGUUUUUAGCAGUUUACUUCCUGUGGCCACUAUACUUGUUGAUUUGGCCACUAUACUUGUUGAUUAUAGAGUAUUUACUAGUGCUGCUUAAGAUUGAAUUCUUACUAGUGGGUUUUUUCAAUGUGCUCAAUGCCUUAUAGAGGUUCUACUGCUAAUGCCAUUUAAGUACACACAUUUUAAUUUUUAAGACUAUCCGUUGUGAUUUAAUCUGAUUUAUGCCUAUGAAUUCUUCACACACACACAUCUAUCGUUUUUACAAGAAUUAUAGACUUUUCAUUGAGAUUUGAAAAGUUACAGAACUAUCAACUACAAUAAACAAAAUAACAGAAAACACCCCUCCCAACUACAAUCUAACAUAGAAAUGGUCUUGAAAUUACAAAAUAGGGCGAGGCUUUAUGUCAUUUGAAUAAUAUCAUUUGUUUCUCAUUAAAAAAAAAAAAAAAAAAAUAGGGGUCUUUACCAGAUAAAAGCAUAAAAGAUGGCUCCCUUCAUGCUAAAUCAGUAUAAACUUACCAAAAAAAUGAGUUAAUUUCAGUGAUUGAAUGAUUUCGAUUUUUCUUAGCACAUUUUGGUCCUUUACAAUACAAUUCAUAUUUUGGGUUCAGCAGAACAUCUUAUUCUAUGCGCUUUUAUUG